UACGGAGGGGGCGAGCGUUAUUCGGAAUCAUUGGGCGUAAAGAGCGUGUAGGCGGCUCGAUAAGUCCGUUCUGAAAGUCCAGGGCUCAACCCUGGGAUGCGGAUGGAUACUGUCGGGCUCGAGUCCGGAAGAGGCGAGUGGAAUUCCCGGUGUAGCGGUGAAAAUGCGCAGAUAUCGGGGAGGAACACCAAUGGCGAAGGCAGCUCGCUGGGACGUGACUGACGCUGAGACGCGAAAAGCGUGGGGAGCAAACAGG
rnacentral:rRNA from 1 species